UUUCCAAUUCAGUGGGCUGCUACAAUCCGGCCUUUAUCACGGGCUGCUCUGGUUCCCAUGUCCCUUCUGGGCCAGUGCCCGAGUUUGUGGUUUGACAUGAGGGCUUUAACCCCUUCCUGUGCCAGCCCCUCACUGUGGUGGCCGGGAAGAAAAGGCCUUCCAGGAACCGGCAUGGAAAGUUACAGCUCUUGGGGUCUCAUCAAAGUGGGAGGUCCCUGUAGAAACCAGGGUUUGGCUUUGUCACUUUUGAGAAUGAAGAUGUUGUGGAGAAAGUCUGUGAGAUUCAUUUCCAUGAAAUCAAUAAUAAAAUGGUAGAAUGUAAGAAAGCUCAGCCGAAAGAAGUCAUGUUCCCACCUGGGACAAGAGGCCGGGCCCGGGGACUGCCUUACACCAUGGACGCAUUCAUGCUUGGCAUGGGGAUGCUGGGAUAUCCCAACUUCGUGGCAACCUAUGGCCGUGGCUACCCUGGAUUUGCUCCAAGCUAUGGCUAUCAGUUCCCA
rnacentral:sRNA from 1 species